AGAUGAAGGAAGCAUGGUUAUGUGUACGGAGAUCAAAUUAGGUCCGCAUGUCUGCCCCCUCUGAUUCUCUCUGAUUUGGGGGCCUGGUUACGACCUACAUCU